CUUAGCAUCGUUGAUAAUGGCGUAAGCGCCAUCGACAAUAAGGUCCCUUUUCAUAGAUAACGUCAGAUUUUAUAUACAUAUGUAAUGUAUUUCUAACGUAUCUUAUUUCUGGUCAACUAUCUAUGUGUGGUAGCUUUCUUAUUUUUGCUUUUUGAACUUAUUUUGAGCUUUAACAUCAAGUACAAUGGUAUGUUAAGGAUGUAAGUUAGGUAUAUUAAUAUAUAAUUUAUAGCUUGCAUAGCAUAUUAGCAUAUAUUUAUUAGCUUGUGGUGCUUGGGUACUUAUUUGUGUAGUUUAUAUUGAACUGGAUUUAAUGUUUGAAUUUGUCAUACAUAAAAAAAAACAAAAAAAUAUUUAAAGUCAAUAAAAACCAUUCUGUGCAAUAUUAGUUAUUGGCAAAACUCUAAUUCGACCAACUUAAUUGGUUUGCCGGCUUAGCCAGAAUACGAACGAAUAAUAUAUUGUUUUAAGAUAAUAUUUUAACUCCAACCACAGAGUUAAAAGAUAAGUAUAGCUGCGAACGCCAAGACAAAACUGUGAUGUCAUAACACGCAGAUUUCACACAUUUCGAUUUUUUUUUCGGUAGUGUUAACGCGCGCCACGCACACAUUAACAACUCGAGGGCGAGCGGUGAGUGGCUCAAACUAAAUCUAAAGUAAGUAUGUGUGCGUGCAAAGUCUGCUUGACAUGAAGUCACAGUUUGGUACUAAGCGACUCACUUAUCUUUAUGUCAAUACUGUGGCUCCAACUAGUAUUAUAUUGAAUUUUACUUCAAAAGCAGCUUGGGGUACUUAAUUAAACGAUUAAAUCCAGUUUGUCUUUGUAUUCCAUUAUAAAAUAAUUAUGAUCAUUAGGAAUGAUAAUUUGUUAAAUGACUUUCGUAUUUUUCCUCACGUCCAGUAUUACUUUUUCUACUUAAAUAUAAUAAUAUAUUUUGUGUUCUCCUGUUUUUUUGAUUUUUGUAUGCAUUUAAACAUAGAUUAGCUUUGGACAAGUGUUUGUAUUUUAUUGCAUUAAUGCGUGUUGUUAUAAGUAUUUGGCUAUAGCUAUUAUUGCUAUAUUAAAUUGUCUAUGCCCCGUUCUUUUUGUACUUACAAGGUUUUCUCAUAAAUAAAUAUUAAAUUACUUAUUGGC